rnacentral:rRNA from 1 species
CUAUAAUGCAAGUCGAGCGAGCCGAACUAAUUGAUUACCUUCGGGUAUGAAGUUAGGGAAGCGAGCGGCGGAUGGGUGAGUAACACGUGGGUAACCUACCCUAUAGUCUGGGAUACCACUUGGAAACAGGUGCUAAUACCGGAUAAAAGGAGAGAUCACAUGAUUUCUUUUUGAAAGGCGGCGUAAGCUGUCGCUAAAGGAUGGACCCGCGGUGCAUUAGCUAGUUGGUAAGGUAACGGCUUACCAAGGCAACGAUGCAUAGCCGAGUUGAGAGACUGAUCGGCCACAUUGGGACUGAGACACGGCCCAAACUCCUACGGGAGGCAGCAGUAGGGAAUCUUCCACAAUGGACGCAAGUCUGAUGGAGCAACGCCGCGUGAGUGAAGAAGGUUUUCGGAUCGUAAAGCUCUGUUGUUGGUGAAGAAAGAUAGUGAGAGUAACUGCUCAUUAUUUGCCGGUAAUCAACCAGAGAGUCACGGCUAACUACGUGCCAGCAGCCGCGGUAAUACGUAGGUGGCAAGCGUUGUCCGGAUUUAUUGGGCGUAAAGCGAGCGCAGGCGGAAAGAUAAGUCAGAUGUGAAAGCCCUCGGCUUAACCGAGGAAUAGCAUCGGAAACUGUCUUCCUUGAGUGCAGAAGAGGAGAGUGGAACUCCAUGUGUAGCGGUGGAAUGCGUAGAUAUAUGGAAGAACACCAGUGGCGAAGGCGGCUCUCUGGUCUGUAACUGACGCUGAGGCUC